rfam:Picea glauca, whole genome shotgun sequence.
AUGUAAUGUAAUUCCUACAACGUUAAUGCAUCAGAUCCCAUUAGAACUUUGCAGUUAAGCAUGCUUGGGCUAGAGUAGUACUAGGAUCGAUGAUCUCUUGGGAAGUCCUAGUGUUUUACAUG